rnacentral:tRNA from 1 species
GUUGUAGCGUAGUUGGCUAACGCGCCAGAUUGUGGCUCUGGAGACCAUGGGUUCGAGUCCCAUCAUC